rnacentral:rRNA from 1 species
AUGAAGAUCCAUGUGGUCGAGACACUAACGGGCAGGGCCAUGAACCUUGCGGUGACGAGCUCAGAUACAGUAAACAAUGUCAAGGCCAAGAUUCACGAGUGGCAUGGCUUUCCCAAGGACCAGCAGUGCCUCAUCUUCGCCAACAGACAACUCGACGACGAUGACGACGAAGGCAAGACCCUGGCGGACCUCAACAUCCGCAACGACACCACCCUCCUCCUCGUCCUCCGCAGCCGGUGCCCAAGAGGUAGGACGAACAUCUACGUGAAGACGUUACCAGGAAAAUUCUAUAAUCUUGAGGUAGACAGCGCAGAUACCAUCUAUAAUGUUAAGGAGAAGAUCUGGUCUAUGGACGGCAUUCCACCGGACCUGCGCAAAGAAAUUCCAGUGUGCUCGAGAGGCAGUUGCAUACCUGAACAGAAAUUCUGA